ACGCCCACGUGGGCGACCCGGGCGGCGGCAGUCCUGGCUGGAGCGCGCGGGACCCUGCGCGGCCCCGACCUGAAGUCGGGCGGGCGCGGGGAGGAAGUCCUGGGAAACACGGCGAGAGGGGCCUCGGGCGGGAGGGCUGAGCGCGGCCCGUGGCGUCCGCUCUCGGAGUCCACACUCGGGCGGCUCGGUUGGAGUUGCGGGCCGGAGAGGGUUGGACUCGCAGCAAGUAAGCGUCGUCCGGACGCGAGUGCACCCUGGAGAGGACCCGAGCCCGAGAGGGGGCGCGCGGAAGGCCCGGGCCCAGGAAGUUGGGGCCCGCACUUGGCCUCGCGCUUGCUGAUCCCCGUCAAGGCCCUUGGCCGGCGCCGGCGCCCCUGGGCUGUUUUUAUUCUCUAGUCGGUGAGAUCACACCGGCCGAGAGCCUCGGGAACGUGUGCGGAGGAGGAGGGGGUGAGAAGUGGGUCCUCAGAAGUGGAGAGCUGGGGACACCAGUGACAACCUGGACAAUGGCUGGAGCCAGGGGUCUCUUGAGCCUUGUGAACCGAGUGCCCGGCAGAAAAUGAGCCUCAAGGACAUCUGUUGAGUUCUUGAAGGAAUGAAUGGAGGGGCUUUCGAAUUUAUCUUUGAAAGAAAUUUACAUAACAGGGUGUUUGUUGCUGGAUCUCCUGAUAGAGAAGGAUCGGAAAUUUGAUAAUUGCCAAUAAAUGGAAGAGAGUUUUGUUUCCAAAGCAAUGAACUCACAAAAAAGUGGGGCAAGACAGGAGUUUUCGGAGAGUUUGUGUAUUCAAAAAAAGCAAAACAACAACAAACCAAUUGGCACAUUGGGGAGCUCCGCGGCUUUUCUCCCCACCAAAAGAAUUCAGGGGCGUCUGCCCGCAGGGCCCUCGGCGGUUUUCAGGAGCUACUCCAGGCCCCUCGGCCUUUCUCUUGCUGCCUCCCGCAGCCGACUAGCCGGUGUCUAAGCCCUUUGUUUGUUUUUAACAGCAGGAAUCUCCCACCCCCACCCCUGCUUUGUUAAAAAAAAAAAGUUAUCUGGAACCCUCAAGUGGGUGGGGAGUUACAAAGCCCUGUGAGGUGUGGCGGAAUCCACAGUCAGCCCAGAAGCGGCAGGGGCCCUUGCCUUGCUCCGGAGAACCGCCUCCCACAAGCCAAUCCGCAGCUGCUGCUGCAGAAGUGCGCUGUGCUCCUCACCCUCCUCUCUUCCUAAAUACCCGCCUGAAAAGGAGAAUACGUGAAAGCCAACUGAGGCUUGACAACCUGGCUUCCGUUCCUUGCUGGUCCUCCUGUUAACGCGCUGCCGCUGUGGUCUUAGGUUUCACUCUCCUCUUCCCGUCCGUCAAGAGAGACAAGGAUGACACAAUCCACAUUUAUUGAUUGCUUUCUUCAUUCCGGGUAGUCCGCCUGCUGCCCUUUGAUUCAGUCUUAACAGUGGUUGGUGAGGUAGAUGUUCCUGUGCCUCACGUUUACGGAGGCACAGAGAGAUUACAUUACUUACUCAGGGUUCCAAGUGGCAGAGCUGGAAUUUGAACCCAAUACUUUGUUGAAGCCUCAGUCUCCGAUCUUGAGACUGCACCCAGCUGCCUGGGUCACGGAAGGCAAAGAUGACAUCAUUGAUCGAGCUCUUUGCAAAACAGUUCUCUACACGGGCACACUGUUGUAACACUGCAAGGAUUAUUUGCUCACCUGUAAAAUGGGGCUAGAGGUAGCUUCCCUCGCGAUCUCCUAGGGUGGCUGUGGGAAGCUCAUGUGAAAAGUUCUCUUGCAGGAUCUCCUUCCCAGCCUUCAGAAAUUGCCGGUCUGGGAGUUGGGGGCAAGGAGAAGAUCCUGCCCAGCAUCUGCAGCCCAUGAGAACUUCCUGCCACUGAUUGACAUGGUUGAAGUGCAUGGUAUGUAAAUUAUAUCUCACUAAUGACAUUUUAAAAAAUAA
rnacentral:lncRNA from 1 species